CGGAGGGUGCGAGCGUUAAUCGGAAUUACUGGGCGUAAAGCGCAUGCAGGUGGUUUGUUAAGUCAGAUGUGAAAGCCCGGGGCUCAACCUCGGAAUAGCAUUUGAAACUGGCAGACUAGAGUACUGUAGAGGGGGGUAGAAUUUCAGGUGUAGCGGUGAAAUGCGUAGAGAUCUGAAGGAAUACCGGUGGCGAAGGCGGCCCCCUGGACAGAUACUGACACUCAGAUGCGAAAGCGUGGGGAGCAAACAGGAUUAGAUACCCUGGUAGUCCACGCCGUAAACGAUGUCUACUUGGAGGUUGUGGCCUUGAGCCGUGGCUUUCGGAGCUAACGCGUUAAGUAGACCGCCUGGGGAGUACGGUCGCAAGAUUAAAACUCAAAUGAAUUGACGGGGGCCCGCACAAGCGGUGGAGCAUGUGGUUUAAUUCGAUGCAACGCGAAGAACCUUACCUACUCUUGACAUCCAGAGAACUUUCCAGAGAUGGAUUGGUGCCUUCGGGAACUCUGAGACAGGUGCUGCAUGGCUGUCGUCAGCUCGUGU
rnacentral:rRNA from 1 species